GCCUGCUUAACUCAAUUGGUAGAGUAUCGGUUUUGUAAACCGACGGUUAAGGGUUCAAGUCCCUUAGCAGGCU
rnacentral:tRNA from 1 species